rnacentral:rRNA from 1 species
UACGUAGGGGGCAAGCGUUGCUCGGAAUCAUUGGGCGUAAAGGGUAGGUAGGUGGUCUCAUUUGUCUGGGGUGAAAGCCCAGGGCUUAACCCUGGAAGUGCCCCGGAAACGGUGAGACUGGAGUCCUGGAGAGGGUCGUGGAAUUCCCGGUGUAGCGGUGAAAUGCGUAGAGAUCGGGAGGAACACCAGAGGCGAAGGCGGCGACCUGGACAGGUACUGACACUCAACUACGAAAGCGUGGGGAGCAAACAGG